AGCGUACACGGUGGAUGCCCUGGCAGUCAGAGGCGAUGAAGGACGUGCUAAUCUGCGAUAAGCGUCGGUAAGGUGAUAUGAACCGUUAUAACCGGCGAUUUCCGAAUGGGGAAACCCAGUGUGUUUCGACACACUAUCAUUAACUGAAUCCAUAGGUUAAUGAGGCGAACCGGGGGAACUGAAACAUCUAAGUACCCCGAGGAAAAGAAAUCAACCGAGAUUCCCCCAGUAGCGGCGAGCGAACGGGGAGCAGCCCAGAGCCUGAAUCAGUGUGUGUGUUAGUGGAAGCGUCUGGAAAGGCGCGCGAUACAGGGUGACAGCCCCGUACACAAAAAUGCACAUGCUGUGAGCUCGAUGAGUAGGGCGGGACACGUGGUAUCCUGUCUGAAUAUGGGGGGACCAUCCUCCAAGGCUAAAUACUCCUGACUGACCGAUAGUGAACCAGUACCGUGAGGGAAAGGCGAAAAGAACCCCGGCGAGGGGAGUGAAAAAGAACCUGAAACCGUGUACGUACAAGCAGUGGGAGCACGCUUAGGCGUGUGACUGCGUACCUUUUGUAUAAUGGGUCAGCGACUUAUAUUCUGUAGCAAGGUUAACCGAAUAGGGGAGCCGAAGGGAAACCGAGUCUUAACUGGGCGUUAAGUUGCAGGGUAUAGACCCGAAACCCGGUGAUCUAGCCAUGGGCAGGUUGAAGGUUGGGUAACACUAACUGGAGGACCGAACCGACUAAUGUUGAAAAAUUAGCGGAUGACUUGUGGCUGGGGGUGAAAGGCCAAUCAAACCGGGAGAUAGCUGGUUCUCCCCGAAAGCUAUUUAGGUAGCGCCUCGUGAAUUCAUCUCCGGGGGUAGAGCACUGUUUCGGCAAGGGGGUCAUCCCGACUUACCAACCCGAUGCAAACUGCGAAUACCGGAGAAUGUUAUCACGGGAGACACACGGCGGGUGCUAACGUCCGUCGUGAAGAGGGAAACAACCCAGACCGCCAGCUAAGGUCCCAAAGUCAUGGUUAAGUGGGAAACGAUGUGGGAAGGCCCAGACAGCCAGGAUGUUGGCUUAGAAGCAGCCAUCAUUUAAAGAAAGCGUAAUAGCUCACUGGUCGAGUCGGCCUGCGCGGAAGAUGUAACGGGGCUAAACCAUGCACCGAAGCUGCGGCAGCGACGCUUAUGCGUUGUUGGGUAGGGGAGCGUUCUGUAAGCCUGCGAAGGUGUGCUGUGAGGCAUGCUGGAGGUAUCAGAAGUGCGAAUGCUGACAUAAGUAACGAUAAAGCGGGUGAAAAGCCCGCUCGCCGGAAGACCAAGGGUUCCUGUCCAACGUUAAUCGGGGCAGGGUGAGUCGACCCCUAAGGCGAGGCCGAAAGGCGUAGUCGAUGGGAAACAGGUUAAUAUUCCUGUACUUGGUGUUACUGCGAAGGGGGGACGGAGAAGGCUAUGUUGGCCGGGCGACGGUUGUCCCGGUUUAAGCGUGUAGGCUGGUUUUCCAGGCAAAUCCGGAAAAUCAAGGCUGAGGCGUGAUGACGAGGCACUACGGUGCUGAAGCAACAAAUGCCCUGCUUCCAGGAAAAGCCUCUAAGCAUCAGGUAACAUCAAAUCGUACCCCAAACCGACACAGGUGGUCAGGUAGAGAAUACCAAGGCGCUUGAGAGAACUCGGGUGAAGGAACUAGGCAAAAUGGUGCCGUAACUUCGGGAGAAGGCACGCUGAUAUGUAGGUGAAGCGACUUGCUCGUGGAGCUGAAAUCAGUCGAAGAUACCAGCUGGCUGCAACUGUUUAUUAAAAACACAGCACUGUGCAAACACGAAAGUGGACGUAUACGGUGUGACGCCUGCCCGGUGCCGGAAGGUUAAUUGAUGGGGUUAGCGCAAGCGAAGCUCUUGAUCGAAGCCCCGGUAAACGGCGGCCGUAACUAUAACGGUCCUAAGGUAGCGAAAUUCCUUGUCGGGUAAGUUCCGACCUGCACGAAUGGCGUAAUGAUGGCCAGGCUGUCUCCACCCGAGACUCAGUGAAAUUGAACUCGCUGUGAAGAUGCAGUGUACCCGCGGCAAGACGGAAAGACCCCGUGAACCUUUACUAUAGCUUGACACUGAACAUUGAGCCUUGAUGUGUAGGAUAGGUGGGAGGCUUAGAAGUGUGGACGCCAGUCUGCAUGGAGCCGACCUUGAAAUACCACCCUUUAAUGUUUGAUGUUCUAACGUUGACCCGUAAUCCGGGUUGCGGACAGUGUCUGGUGGGUAGUUUGACUGGGGCGGUCUCCUCCUAAAGAGUAACGGAGGAGCACGAAGGUUGGCUAAUCCUGGUCGGACAUCAGGAGGUUAGUGCAAUGGCAUAAGCCAGCUUGACUGCGAGCGUGACGGCGCGAGCAGGUGCGAAAGCAGGUCAUAGUGAUCCGGUGGUUCUGAAUGGAAGGGCCAUCGCUCAACGGAUAAAAGGUACUCCGGGGAUAACAGGCUGAUACCGCCCAAGAGUUCAUAUCGACGGCGGUGUUUGGCACCUCGAUGUCGGCUCAUCACAUCCUGGGGCUGAAGUAGGUCCCAAGGGUAUGGCUGUUCGCCAUUUAAAGUGGUACGCGAGCUGGGUUUAGAACGUCGUGAGACAGUUCGGUCCCUAUCUGCCGUGGGCGCUGGAGAACUGAGGGGGGCUGCUCCUAGUACGAGAGGACCGGAGUGGACGCAUCACUGGUGUUCGGGUUGUCAUGCCAAUGGCACUGCCCGGUAGCUAAAUGCGGAAGAGAUAAGUGCUGAAAGCAUCUAAGCACGAAACUUGCCCCGAGAUGAGUUCU
rnacentral:rRNA from 1 species